CCCUCUGGAGCGUAUGGGCAGGUAGCAAAUGACUGUUAAUCAUUGGGUCCCUGGUUCGAGUCCAGGUCGUGGAGCCA
rnacentral:tRNA from 2 species